rnacentral:rRNA from 1 species
GACAGAGGGUGCAAACGUUGUUCGGAAUUACUGGGCGUAAAGCGUGUGUAGGCGGCUACGCAAGUCGGAUGUGAAAGCCCCGGGCUCAACCCGGGAAGUGCACCCGAAACUGCGUGGCUCGAGUACCGGAGAGGUUGGUGGAAUUCUCGGUGUAGAGGUGAAAUUCGUAGAUAUCGAGAGGAACACCGGUGGCGAAGGCGGCCAACUGGACGAGUACUGACGCUGGAGACACGAAAGCGUGGGGAGCAAACAGG